rnacentral:lncRNA from 1 species
GCGCUAACAAAAAGAUAAAUAAGCAAAGGCACAUUCAAGAGGAGAGAGAAAGAGAGUGAAUUCAAACUUGGACACAAGUGCAUUGAGCAUCAUCGACCAUUUCAUAUCAGAUGAGAUAAUGAUCAAAAGGUAUAGGACAAGAGAGAAAGCGGGUUGAUAGGCGUAAACACAGAGAGAUGUGUUCUUUAAGUUCUUUAAUGGUAAAUUAUUGUAAAAAUCUAAAAACGCACAGGUACAUGCUUUGCAGUAAACCAGGUCAUUUAAAUAACCAUAGGAAUCCUAGCCUUCCAUAACCUAAAAAUUCUACUUGCAUUGCUAGACUAUACCAGAUGUUUUUC